ACCGAUAAUAAAACGCACAAACCUCUUCCCCUUCUUCUCUUCGCACAAAGUCUGUCUCCUUCUUGCUCUCUCAUUCUUCCACCACAAGAUCAAAUCCAGACCUCAUAUGGACGAAACUCCGACACACCGCUAUAGUAAAAUAUAGAAAAAAAUAAAUAAUAAUUUAAUUAACUUGGAGAUUUUCAUAGGUUUCUCACUGAAAAACAUUCUGAGUACACAUAUUUAUGGGGUAUAAGAAAACUCAGGAAGACUUCAACCAUAGAAAUAUAGAUGCUAAAACUUUUUGUUAACGGUUAAGACGCAGGCAUUCAAUGUUCUUCGAAGUAUUGUCCUUACAAAUCCUCCAUACGAAAAUGUCUCUCUCAGGGUUUCAGAAGAUUGGAUAUAUUUGGGCUUGGAUACGAAAUUGAAACACCCAAUUUAGGACGAAGAAAGGUAGUUUGGUUAAAAAUUCCACAAGUUUUUUCAGUUCCUCGGUGGAGGUAUUACUCAAAAAAUCUUUCAAGAGGAAGAGUUCAAUUUUUCGGGUUUUAGCUCUUUGGUCUUUGGGGUUUCCGUGAAAUACACAAAUUUCAUUCGUUAUUUAUGUUUGUGUAUCCGAAUACUACUGUCAAAACAUAGCGAUAUGCCAAACGAAAAGAAAAUUAUCUUCAUUGGAAAUUUCGAAUCAAAUAUCCAUUAGUUUUCCCUGGGAUGUAUCACGGAGAUAAGAACUCCAGGGUCUAUCAUGACCUGUAAAAGUGUGGCGUUUGUCCCUUUUAAUUUUCACUGCAGCCUAUGACUACCGAUAUAAGCUUUUGAGCAGCCAGGAUAGUGUGAACAUAUAUUCCUAUGCAAUUUCUGGCGAAGGAAAAUGACAGUAACAUAUUCAUGUUAUUUGAAGUUCGAGGUAUGUGACACUGCUCCUCGACUCCGGAUAAAAUUUGGUUUUCCACACACGUUCUUUGUGAGGCAUCGUAAUACUCGGUGUUUCUAUGAUAGCAGCAGUUUAAGAAAUCCAUAUUCGUGUGAUUAUUAAGAGCAAGUUUUAUGGUGGAAUCCAACCUAUUCCAAGUUUUCGGGAGCUGCUGAGUCCCAAUGGUUAUGCCAAAUGACGACAAACAUGGUAACGAUUUUGAAACUGACAAAGGCAUAUUAUUUUCAGGUGUUACCAUAAGUGUUGAGGGCAUAAAUUUUUCAGGUGUGGGAUAUGUACUUAUUCCCUAUCAAUUCUAUGAACCCAAUUUGGAUCAAUGUUUGUAAGGGCUAAUAUCAUAUAUUUAACAAACAAAAAACCCUACAGUUUUGGGAGCAAUACGAAAAGUUGUUGGCAUCAAAAGAAGUUAAGUCUUCGGGACAUUUGAUACGAAAUUAAUUAUUAACCAACAUCAAGCCCCGUGUCGUGAUGGCACGGGUAAAGGCC